rnacentral:rRNA from 1 species
AACGAACGCUGGCGGUAUGCUUUACACAUGCAAGUCGAACGGGUAAGAGCCGUAGCAAUACGGAAUUCUGCUAGUGGCAAACGGGUGAGUAACGCGUGGGAACCUACCUUAUAGUACGGAAUAGCCCCGGGAAACUGGGAUUAAUACCGUAUACGCUCUUCGGAGGAAAGACUUAUCGCUAUAAGAUGGGCCCGCGUUAGAUUAGCUAGUUGGUGAGGUAAUGGCUCACCAAGGCGACGAUCUAUAGCUGGUUUGAGAGGAUGAUCAGCCACACUGGAACUGAGACACGGUCCAGACUUCUACGGGAGGCAGCAGUGGGGAAUAUUGGACAAUGGGCGAAAGCCUGAUCCAGCAAUACCGCGUGAGUGAUGAAGGCCUUAGGGUUGUAAAACUCUUUCAGUAGGGAAGAUAAUGACGGUACCUACAGAAGAAGCACCGGCUAACUCCGUGCCAGCCGCCGCUGUAA